AUGUAUGCCUGCUCCAAAUUCAUCUCCACUCCCUCCUUGGUCAAGAGCACCUCACAGCUGCUGAGCCAUCCACUAUCUGCAGUGGUGUUGAAAUGACCGGAGACAAUGGCAGAUGAGAGUCUCAGCAGCUUGGCAGUCUCAUGUCCCCUUACCUCACUUGUCCCUAGCUGCAGCUUCCAAACUAGUGCCAUUUCAAGGGACAUAGACAUGGCAGCCAAAUUCAUUGGGGCUGGGGCUACCACAGUUGGGGUGGCUGGCUCUGGGGCUGGGAUUGGGACUGUGUUUGGGAGCCUCAUCAUUGGUUAUGCCAGGAACGCUUCUCUGAAGCAACAGCUCUUCUCCUAUGCCAUUCUGGGCUUUGCCCUCUGGGAGGCCUUGGGGCUCUUUUGCCUGAUGGUGGCCUUUCUCAUCCUCUUCGCCAUGUGA
rnacentral:lncRNA from 1 species